ACAAUGAUGAUGUCACUGAUUCUACUGCUGGCCACCCUGGGGCUCCUUGUUCAGGGUUCAUCAGGACAAAUCAUCCUGACUCAGUCUCCUGGAUCUCAGUCUGUUGUUCCAGGACAGGCUGUCUCUCUCAAAUGUAAAACCAGUACAAGUGUUACUAGUUAUGGGUCCAGCUGGCUCCACUGGUACCUUCAGAAACCUGGAGAAGCUCCUAAACUCCUGAUUUAUACAGCUACAACUCGUCAGUCUGGAGUUCCAGAUCGUUUUAGUGGAAGUGGAUCUGGGACUGACUUCACUCUGACCAUCAGUGGAGUUCAGGCUGAAGAUUCAGGAGUUUACUACUGUCAGCAGAGUCACAGCUUCCCGUUCACACAGUGAUACAACGUCGUACAAAAACCUCCCUCAGCUGGAGAGGAACUGAUCUGACUCAACAGCUGCACUGAAACUAAAACAGAGGUUUAUAAAAAAAAGUUCAAAUCAAUUCAUUUUGAACAUUGUAAGAAAAUAUUUAGUAUUUAAUCCAAACAUAUACUUUUAAUAUUCUUUUAAAACAGGGUUUCAUUCAUCAAUGCAGUCGUUUAAAUUACAUCAAUAACUUUGAUAAGUUUAAUCUAUGAACUAAAAUAAACACAUUUGUACAUAUUACUUUUCUUACAUUUUUUCAUACAAACUUGAUCAAACACAUUGCUGAUAUAAAAUACAUUUAAUCUCAACAUCUAAAUUUGUUCAUGUUGUCAAAUUAAAAAUAAUGUCUAUGACAUA